AGGUGCAUUUUUCCGAUGUCUGCCGCCGAGCUGCAACGAAGGGCAACGGCCCUUAGUCGCCGUCAGGUGCGGAUAUUUGGGGCAGUGGCCACCGGGUGCGGCAGCCUUGGUUUGUACGUUUGCUACAAGAAGUUUUUUCUUCCUGAGCGUCUACGCGAAGACCAAUGUAGGAGGGUGCUCAUGCCAGUGCGUAGAACAAAACCUUACGUUGUGGGGACAUCGAUGGGCAAUGGUUUGCUGCCGGAGGUGCGAUCUAUGCCAAAAGUGGUGUUUUUCUUCUACGUCGCGUACCGAAUCGCACUGCUUUUUGUAGGUAGUGUUCCCGUUCUGUGGUACGGAUUCCUCACAUACAGCUUACGGCUGUGCCCUGAACGCAUAUUUUAUGAAAAGAUUCUCGCAUUCCUCUCGUCAAUGGGACCGAGCUACAUCAAACUUGGUCAGUGGAUGGCGACGCGCCCUGACUUUUUCCCCGAUCAAAUGUGUAAGACGCUGGAAAAGCUGUAUGACAGUACCGAGCCACACAAGUGGUCACACACUGAGAGACUUCUCCGCAGCGAGUUCACCGACGGGCCUUGCAAAGGGCACAGCGCGCUUCGCUACAUCUCCGAGAUCGAAAAGGUCCCCAUCAAGAGCGGUAGCAUUGCACAAAUACACCGAGCGAAGCUCCGCGAGAGCAUUGAUGGCAUUCCAGCUGGAACAGAGCUCGCUCUCAAGGUCACGCAUCCCUACAUACGCGAGCAGGUGUCGGCUGACCUGGCAGCCAUGCGUCUCUUUGUUUGGGUCGGCAACAGGAUUAUUCCAGGGCUGCGAUACUUUAAUUUGGAUUCGAGCAUCAACGAGUUCUCGUCGCUGGUCCAGUCUCAACUCGAUCUACUAGUCGAAGGCGAUAAUCUGAUGCAGUUUCGGUACAACUUCCGCAGCUUCAACGGUGUUAUUUUCCCCACGCCGCUGCUGUCUCUGUCUACGGAAGACGUGCUCUUUGAAACAUUUGAAGAGGGUGAACCGCUGCAAGAUGUGGUGUACAGUGAAGAGCAUAAAGAUGUGGCAGAGCUGGGCUGUCACAUGUUUUUGAAGAUGCUCUUUGAGGACAACUUUGUCCACUCAGAUUUGCAUCCCGGUAACAUUCUUCUGCGCACAAAUAAGACGGAUGGCCUUCGGCAGUACUACCCUGACGGCAAGCGGAAGCUGCGAUUUGAGGUUGUGGUUCUCGACACUGGCCUUGUCACGACUCUUUCCAAAGACGAGCGCAACAACUUCAUCUCGCUCUUUGCCGCUGUCGCGUGCGGUGAUGGUGAGCUCGGGGCGGAUCUAAUGAUCGAUCGUCUGCCACACUCCAUGAGAAACUCACAGGACGCAGCAAACCGGGAGAGGUUCAAGAAAAAGAUCAAGGAGGUAUUUGACAUGGUCGCUCCUGGAACGGCAGGCUUUCGACUCAGUAAGGUCCAGAUUGGCAGUAUCCUAGGAAAGGUAAUGGACGCGGUCCGCGAGAACCACAUUCCUUUGGACGGCAACUUUGCUUCACUCGUUCUCUCGGUGAUUGUGGGCGAGGGGCUGGGUCGCAAGCUGUUGCCGGACUUCAACAUUUUUGCCGAGGCAGCACCGUAUCUCAUGGCAUUUCUCGAGGACGGCGAGCUUUACUUCCUGGCGAACAAGCUCCAGAGCACAUACGGUACCACCGCUUUGUUGCGGGACUCAGUAGAUAUUGUGAAACCAGAAAAGGCUGGUACGUACGUCGAAAUGGCGGUGAAAAAGGGCGAGAAUAUGCUACGGAAACUCUUCGCAUCGGACAGGGCCCAUGGCUAGGGCUUCUCUUCGAUCGUUAUUGUUUUUCCCUUUUCGGUAAUUUUAUUGCUACAGGCCACGUGAGCUGUUCCAUGGUGACAAAAAUGUAAGGUGCAUUACGGUGACUGCUGAAAGUCGACGAUUGUUGUGACGGGUACUGAGCGGCGUUCUUCUCUGGUCUCUCGCUUUGAUAGGCCAAGCACUUGAAAGCGCUUUUGAAGCGUGAUGGAUUUCAUGAAGUUUUCUCAUUUGUCUUCACUAUAUCUCACACUUUUGAUACUUCGCGUGGAUCUAUGAGCUCUUCACCUCUGACAG
rnacentral:misc_RNA from 1 species